rnacentral:rRNA from 1 species
GACGAACGCUGGCGGCGCGCCUAACACAUGCAAGUCGAACGAGGUCUUUUAGGAAGCUUGCUUCUUGGCUGACCUAGUGGCGGACGGGUGAGUAACACGUGAGCAACCUGCCCUGGAGCGGGGGAUAACGUCUGGAAACGGACGCUAAUACCGCAUAACGUCUAUGGAUGGCAUCAUUUGUAGACCAAAGGAGUAAUCCACUCUGGGAUGGGCUCGCGGCUGAUUAGAUAGUUGGUGGGGUAAAGGCCUACCAAGUCUGCGAUCAGUAGCCGGACUGAGAGGUUGAUCGGCCACAUUGGGACUGAGACACGGCCCAGACUCCUACGGGAGGCAGCAGUGGGGGAUAUUGCACAAUGGGGGAAACCCUGAUGCAGCGACGCCGCGUGAGUGAAGACGGCCUUCGGGUUGUAAAGCUCUGUGAGCGGGGACGAUAAUGACGGUACCCGCUUAGAAAGCCACGGCUAACUACGUGCCAGCCGCCGCAGUAAAAC